UCCCAGUUCUCAGACUGUUUACAGACUAACUCUGACACAAAUAUCAUCUGGAAGAGUACAGUUAUGUUUGAAAAGCCAAAAAUAAAUUUACAACUAAGCAAAAAAAGAUAAAUUAAAACCCAAUCCCACUGUACCUUGUAAAAAAAAGAGAGAAACAUAUAAAAAGCAAUAAUUAAAAAAAAAAAAAAGAAAAGACUGAAAGCUGAGAGAACAAAAAGAAGGAAGCAGAAUUUAAGGAUCAGAGGGCAGAGAGACAAAGAAGGCAAAUCCAUAGCAGAAAACUUGAGAAUAGAAGAAAAAAGGGCAAGCAAGAAAGGGCUACAGGAGUAGAAGCUACAACAAAGAAAAAAAGUUUUCAGGAACGUAUGUGUGCGUGUGUGUUGUUGUUUUAUGUGUAAGAGAGACAAUCAAAGCUGAUUCAUUGCAUCUGCUGAUGAAAUUCAGUGAGAUCUGUCUAGAGGGCUGGGAAGAAAAAUUGAGUAAUUAGAUAGAGAAUCAAAACAUAGGGUGAUUAUGAGAGAAUUCGCCCUCCAGCAUUGGGGGAUGGUGUGAAUUUUCAGGUAUGAGGAUAUAUAUGGGGCUACAGAGAGAAAAAAUUAUUUCCUGAAUAAGAUUGGAGAAGAUGGCUAUGUCUAGGCUUGGGAUCUUGAUUUUCCUGUAAUACUGGGAUAAGAAUGAAAAUGAAGGAAACCAUCACACUUGGCUUAUGGCUGGAGUAGCAUUUAAGCUCUGUCUCUAGUAAACAAUUUCACCAAUUAUGCAAUAAAAAAUUAUGUGAACCUGGCACCCAGAUCUGGAACUCCCAGUUGCUCUCAGUGCCAAAGGUCAAUCCAAUGUGUC
rnacentral:lncRNA from 1 species